UACGAAGGGGGCUAGCGUUGUUCGGAAUUACUGGGCGUAAAGCGCGCGCAGGCGGUCUUUCAAGUCAGGGGUGAAAGCCCAGAGCUCAACUCUGGAAUUGCCUUUGAGACUGGGAGACUUGGGUAUGGGAGAGGUGAGUGGAAUUCCGAGUGUAGAGGUGAAAUUCGUAGAUAUUCGGAAGAACACCAGUGGCGAAGGCGGCUCACUGGCCCAUUACCGACGCUCAGGCGCGACAGCGUGGGGAGCAAACAGG
rnacentral:rRNA from 1 species